rnacentral:ncRNA from 2 species
AAUAGUGCCAAGGGGAGCUGGGGUAACCCGGCUGAGAAAGAACUGUUCCUGUUCUGACCCUUUGACCUGAUCUGGAUAAUGCCAGCGUAGGGAUGUUUUUAAGCUUUUUU